rnacentral:rRNA from 1 species
UACGUAGGGGGCAAGCGUUGUCCGGAUUUAUUGGGCGUAAAGAGCGUGUAGGCGGCCAGACAGGUCAGCUGUGAAAACUCGAGGCUCAACCUCGAGACGUCGGUUGAAACCGUCUGGCUAGAGUCCGGAAGAGGAGAGUGGAAUUCCCGGUGUAGCGGUGAAAUGCGCAGAUAUCGGGAAGAACACCCGUGGCGAAGGCGGCUCUCUGGGACGGUACUGACGCUGAGACGCGAAAAGCGUGGGGAGCGAACAGG